ensembl:lncRNA
AGAGAAUCCCUUCAGGGACUUUGACAGUGCUUCCAACACCCAACGCCGCUUUCUUUGGAUCCUUUGUGCCACCACCGGCCACUGCUGCAAUGCAGCCCAGCAUUGGCAGAGCAAUGCUGGUGUCACCGCAACCCCUCCCUGUCCCCAGUGUCACCCACGUGGCACCUCAGGCCUCUGUCUGGCCUGGGCUACCAGGCGUCCAGGGACAGGGAGCGCAGCUCCCACCUGGGGGGCUGCCUCCAGCUGUGGUUCAGCUGCCACCCGGGGGGCAGCACUUACCACUGCUGCAGCUGCUACCUUGGGAGCUGCACCCAGGCAUGGCUCCCCCCAUGGCCCCUGCCCACUGCUGGGGACAUUCCCUGCUGGCAGGGACACCGCAGCCCCAGCAGCCGAUGGGGCUGUGGCCUGGGGCUGUGUUCCAUGGGGAGCCCCCGCAGUCCGCAGGCAGCUGCCUACUGCAGGCCUCCAGCAGCCCCGUCCUUCUGCCAGCACCUUCAGUGCAGCAGCAGGUGCUCCCCGUGCCCUGCACGCUGCCCACCAGCUGGGAGCAGGCGGUGGGGCCCUUUGGAGAUGCUGUGGUGCUCACGGAGGACCAGGGGCACCCAGUGCCCACCGACGUGUGCCCCCAUCCCACCACGGCUCCGCUCACCUGCAGCACCGCAGCGCUGGAAUCAGGUGCAGCGACAACAAGCGCAGACAUCUCGCAGGACAUCACGGACAUUGAUGAGCUCCUGACAUGGAUGAACAACGGAGUGGAAUCCACCACAGAGAUCCCAGAUGACAUCCCAGACAUGGAUGACCUCCUGUCGUGGGUCAACAAUGAAGUGACGAGUCCUCUGGAGGUCCCCCAGCAGAACCAGGACCUGGUUGAUGUCCUAGCAGAGGGAACAAAACACACUGAGACAGUGGAAAAUGGUCACGAUGAGCUGCUGCCAGAACUGAACGCCCAGGAAAGGGCAGAGCUGCUGCAGUGGAUUGAUGCCACGCAGCCACCGAGCCCAGCUGUCCCCAGCAGCCUCAACAGCUCUCCUUUCAUCGCAGCGCUCCCUGACUUUCCCUGGGCCAGCACGGAGCUCAGCAGAGAGGCAGAGGCUGAUGCCAGGCCCAUCAGCGACCUGUUCUGGAGGCAGCCAGCAUGCUGUGGGCAGCUCUCUGAGUCGCUGCCUUUUGGGCAUCUGAUGGAAGAGGCACGGCAGAGGCAGCCCCGGGUGGUUCUCACCCGCCUGGCGCUGCCACCCGGCUGUAUCUCCUGCCACGUGCCAGACGACCCCCACGGGGAUGGCACCGGGCCAGCCGAGUGCCCAGCGCCCGCCUGCACCACCGGGAAAGACAGGAGCAGAGGGCACGAGCAGCGCGCUGGCAGCGUCCCAACCAGAAAGAGGAAGCUGCCCCUGGGCCAGGACGCUCCAGGACAGAAACGCCGGCUCCAGGUGAAGCUGGGUGGGCUCAGCACGAGCGGGACCAUCCACAGAAACCGGCCCACGUGGUGCAGCAGGAGGCACAGCCAUAGCCAACAAACAAGGCUACCUGUAGCCCUGGGCUCCUCGCCGGCCCCAGUGGCACACAGAGAGCAGCAGCAGUGCUCCAGGGGCACCAGCACCGGCCCCAGCCCUACCCCUCCAAACCUGGGCUUUCCACAAAUGCCAUCUUGGACUAGGACGAUGUAG